CUGUCAGGGAGACCUGCAGGGGAACUACAGACUUAGUCUCUCAGCAGAUCUUGAUCUUUAAGAUUCAAAAGCGUUGCUAUUCCCCAAAAGUCAAUAUACUUUGUUAAUUUAAUACAACAUGUUGGGACAAC
rnacentral:lncRNA from 1 species